CGCGUCUCCUGUUCCUCGGAGGGCGUUCACAGUGUGGUUCUCUGUAACCCCCCUGGGGUGUGUUCUUCCUUCCUCCCCACUGGGUUUGUGGGUGGCGUUCGUGAGGCUCCCUUAGGAUUUCCUAACGCCAUUGCCCAUUUCUGGCUAUGAGAACACCCAUUCCAUUUGUUAACGAAUCAAUUAUCCCCCUGAAGAGACCACUUACAGGUCGAAACGCGUCAGGGUACGCACACCACGCAGCAUAAUGUAAUGUUGUACAUAAUUGUUUCAAAUAUUGUGGAAUUUGUAUUGUAUCACCAGAUUCGGAAAGGGUUUUCUUGUAAUUGUUAUUGUAUUCAACUUGUAUGUCUUUGACAACCAUUUAAUAAACCAUGUUUUACUUAA